CUGAGGAGGUUGAACCCCAUGCACCAGUACAGGCUGGGGGCUGACCUGCUGGAAAGCAGCUCUGCUGAGAGGGACCUCGGAGUCCUGGUGGACGGCAAGCUGGCCAUGAG